CAGAAAUCAACCUUUCUGUGUCCGUGUCCCAAUAUUCCUCUUCAUUGUGGACAAACUCUUUAUUGAUGGACAGCUAUUCCGAGACAGCUCCAUUACACCGUGGCUGUACUAAAUUCUACAGGGACUUCAGGUUACAAAAAAAAAGAAGGUCCGGGCUAAAGUGGUCAUCCAGCCUGGAGGAGUGGUGCCAAGGCUGCGCACCAGAGCUUCAGUGCUCUCCCACAGCCCGGUCCAUCCGGUGCCUCCUCCACACACCAGGCCUCCUGUAGGUCUCCCCAGCCUGGUGGGUCCUGUGGCAGCCCCACGCACCAGGCUGUCUCUCCGUCUCCUCCUUCCAGGUUCUCUCUCCAGGCCAGAGCCACCCGUCAGUCCGGAGUUGCCAGAGCCGCCUGUCUGUCCUGAGCUGCCAGAGCCGUCCGUCUGUCCUGAUCUCCCAGAUCCGCCCGUCUGUCAGGAGCUGCCAGAGCCGCCUGUCUGUCAGGAGCUGCCAGAGCCGCCCGUCAGUCAGGAGCUGACAGAGGUGUCCGUCAGUCAGGAGCUGCCAGAGCCACCCGUCAGUCAGGAGCUGCCAGAGCCGCCCGUCAGUCAGGAGCUGACAGAGCCGUCCGUCAGUCAGGAGCUGCCAGAGCCGCCCGUCAGUCAGGAGCUGCCGGAGCCGCCCUUCACUACGGCGCUGCCGGAGUCGCCCUUCACUACGGUGCUGCCAGAGUCUCAUGCCUGGCGUCUCCCGUCUAUUCGGGCCCGCUGUUAGGGUUCCCAGUACGAGGUCGGCGGAGAGGGUCGCCGCUCCAAAGGCGCCGCUUAAGAGGGCCAAGACUAUGGUGGAGUGGGGUCCACGUCCCGCGCCAGAGCCGCCACCGCGGACAGACUCCCACCCAGACCCUCCCCUAUAGGUUCAGGUUUUGCGGCCGGAGUCCGCACCUUUUGGGGGGGAUGUUUUUUCCGUUUUUAUGUCUUUGUGUUAGUUUGGUCAGGGCGUGAGUUGGGGUGGGUAGUCUAUGUUCUUUUUUCUAUGUUGUAUUUCUGUGUUUGGCCUGGUAUGGUUCUCAAUCAGAGGCAGCUGUCGAUCGUUGUCUCUGAUUGAGAAUCAUACUUAGAUAGCCUGUUUUCCCCAUGUUUGUUGUGGGUGAUUAUUUUCCCUGUCAGUGUUUGCUCCAUACGGGACUGUGUCGGUUUCCAUUUAUUCUCUUAUUCUUUUGUUUUCUGUGUUAGUUAUAUUUCAUUAAAAUUAUAUUAUGGACA
ensembl:lncRNA